UUUGGUUUGACAGCUGAAGGUCAAUUAGAAUAUGGACCUAAAAACAAAGUAUGUCUAUGAGUCAACUAUCUUACCCUAUGAAAAACUCCUUGUGGCUCUACAGGAGGGCCUCUUCAACCUUUAGACAGAAACUGUUGAUCAAGUGUGGGACUAGGACUCAAUUAAGUUGCACCUAGGCUCCUUGCCUCUGUGAUUCAAGUUGUUUAGAAAGUGGGGGAGUCCAUCCUGAACCUUGUGAGUCCCUGCAUCCAGUAGGCUCUGCAUAUUUUUUUGAGAGAGAACCUACCUAUAAGUUACCGCAGAUCAGAGGAGGCAAAAUUUCUUCCAUGUGUCAGCCAUGUCAUUUGUUAACCACUGAGAUUCAAGAAGUGUGCUGUUAGCUCAGUAGUGGAUGGUGGCACUGUACAAUGUUUCUACUGUACAGAGUGGUUUACAAGUCAACAACAAAUGGUAACUAGCUCUGUAAAAACAUGGCAGCUUGUUCUCUAUGGGGAUAGGCUAUACUUCUUCAAAGGAAUAAUUUGGAGCAAAAAUUCACUGGGGGUGUCUAUAGACUUCUUACUUGGUCUUGCUUGAGAAAAACAAAUAUAACUGUGAAUGUACGUGCACGUGUAUGUGUAACAGAAAAAGACACCAGUGAACUACAGUGUCUAUGGCUUAAUCUGCAGCUUGUUAGUUUGGGAAAUAUCUCACUUAUUUUAUAUCUAAAUAGAAGCUGCCUUGCCAAUAGAUCAUUAAAUGUGAAACAGUUUCUAAUUUAAUUGUUGUUAUUCUUCCCAGUCAUAAUUGUCUGCUGCAAUCUGCUACUUUGCAUCAUUCCACAUCUCCAAGCUACGUACAAUAGUGUAGACAUGAAAAUCAAUGUGUGUGACACAUGAUGCAAGAACUGUUAUUUGCAAUCAUGUAAUACUUGAGAAGUUUCUAAAUAUUUGGAAGGUUCCACACUAUUGAAAACAGUAGCAAUUCUGUAAGUAGAACCUAAUCUGCUAUGUAAGGUGCAAUCAGUGCUGCUAGCGCUGACUCACAUGACUGCUUCCUAGCAUAAUCAUUUCUCAAAUUAAUUUUAAGAUGUUUGUUUAGAGGAUGAAAAGUAUAAUGUAUUUAUUUGACUUGACAUAACAUAGCGUUACUGUGAGGUACAGGACAAAUAAAAGGAUUUUUCAACUUACUUCUUAAACUUUUCUGUUGGUAAUACUAGUCUACAAAAAUGCAAAAGAAUAGAACUUCAGGUUGUAAGUUUCUUAAAUGCUAUCAUGAGCCACUGACAGAUCACCUGACACUGAAGUCACUGGAAAUACAUUUAACUCUGUGGACAUUUUGCAAGUUACUCUCUAAGGAUAAUUUCAUGCUAUUCUGCAGUAUUUGUUCACAGGAACAAUUAUUAUCAAAGACAGUUAAUAUUUUACAGCAUAUACAAGCCAGCUUCUUUAUGCAUAAAUGUUGAGACAAGCUUUCUGCCCCAUUCAGCCAAUGUUAAAUGAAUAAGAUAGGGUAAUAGGCUAUAAAAAGACAAAGGGCAACUUUUAUGGUAAUAAAAUGCUGUGCUUCUUUGCUUUUUAUUCCACUUACUUGAGGGUACUGUUUCCUUUCAGGUGCUGGGCAGUCACUAAUACAACUGCACUAAUGUUAAUGACUGAUAGUUUACUCCACAGCAGGGUCAGUACAUGCUAGUGUUAAGUCAACCACUGCAGAUAACAAUUUAUUAUUGGUGUUCAAUGUAUUUAUGGGAAGUGUUUUAAGUGCACUGAUUUCAGUUCUCCUUUACAUUACUUUAACUCAGUGAUACAUUUGCUUAGCAGCGUGCAUUCACCUGAACCUUGUGGUAUUCAGACUUGGUCGUCUGUGGCUCUUUAAAAUUAGAAGGCCAGAUUCACCUUUUGGCAUCUGUUCUUCAGCAGUCAAUAACCAGUCAAUGACAAUUUCCCUGACAUUCUGGUAUGGAUUUGCUGUGGGGAAAUAAUACAAAUAAUCUAAAUAAUACAUCCUGAGAACUCUAAAAACACUAACUGUGGGGCUACCUAGCAUCAGACUGACUUCUUGUAUUCCCACGUCCACAACAACCCAUGUGUACAUCUGUAAUGAAAUGGUAUGCUCUGGGAGCGCAGCUUUGUAGGUGGACAGAAACAUAAUGGUUUUUUUUCUCUCUGAAAUUUAUCAGAACUAAACUGUUUUCAAAAUUACUUACAAAUCAGAACAUUCUAACAAAAACUUACUGUGGGAUUUUCUUUUUUCCCAAUGAAUUCUAAUUGGAAGUGAAGAAAGCAAAUGUGAAAAGUUAGAAGAGCUGACACUGAAGGGACGUGCAUCUGUUGCAUUAAAUCUAAUUGGUUGCUGUAAAUUAAAAGGGGAAGCAAAAUAGCCUCCAGCUAUACAAUUAGCUGGCCAUCUAGCUGGCACUGUUAGUUAGCAACUGAACUUUUCAAAGCCACUGUGUAAGAGAAAGUAGUUAGAAAAAAAAUACAUAUAUUAUGUAUUAUAUUAUGUAUAUAUUCCUUUUUCACUCUUUUGAAACACAGUGUUUAAUAUAGUUACCUUUUCAAACUCUUCAUCUCUGUAAAGAGAUCACACCGGUUCCUGCAUACACACUGCUUUGCCUUCAGUCCUUCCUUUUGAAAGUGUUCGUGUGACAGGCAGGAAUUCAGGAAAGGUCAUGAGAUAAUAGGAACCAGCACCCUCUGAUAAGUCAGGUGGCUUAGAUGAGGGAUAUGUACUAAGUAGAUGUGGGGUUUUUGCUAUCAUUUGGAAGGGGAUAUUGUCAGCACUGAGACAAUUUUGUCAGGGAAUAAUGGAUUCUAGAGUUUUACAAUUUAAAACUGGGGAAAAUGGAAGCACUGUUGAUACAGUGCUGAGCUUUAUGGCUUCCAGAGCUCCUCUGUCAUCAAAGGGAAGCUUUCUGUUAUGUUUAGUUGCAAGCAUGCAUCCUGCACACUUUCUGUACCUUCAUCCUCUCCUGUAGGUGUAUUCAGUGAGUGUCUGAGGGCAGGAGAAGCAGGCAAAAUGUACAACUUCUAAACAAGUGAAUGAGACAGUCAGACUUUGGGCAAAAGAGGCCUGUCUCCCUCAGGAUUCCUCUGAACUGAUGGACAGGCUUUGGCAUUCCAGAAAUUCACAACACCUUAAUGGGGCUCCUCUAAAUUGCCUCUUACCAUUGGCUGCACAAGAAGCAUUGGUUCUCCAGUUGUUAGAGAGUCUGUAUGGAAGCUUUUCUUAGUGUACACAGGAAAUGCAUGGAGAUAUUUGUAUCUUACUCCAGCCAAAAUAUGCAAAGGUAUUACUAGAAGAGACAAAAAACAUAAUUUAAUUAGAGAUACUCUUUGAAAAAAGUCUGAAAAAGUCUGUUAUGCAAUAUUUUGGGAGUCUUUGAAAUAUAAAGGACGCAUAAUAAAAGUGGUUCUUGUAAUUAGCAACAGACUUGGAAGGCAGAAAACUCUGUCCCAGCAUUUCUUAAUGCAAAGGUCUGCUAUGACCUGAUAAAGAAAUGUUCAUAAGAAAAGAUAAGGCUGUGUGGGCUGAAAAAAUAACGUUGUUAAUGUAACAUCAUGUUGUCUUGAGGAAGGAAAGUGUUUACCCAAAUGCACGCUACCCUUGUUAAUUUGCUUGGAUUCAGUGCUACUCAAGGCAAUCUUACAGAAAGACUGUAAAAGUUGUGGGGUUAUAUUUGUGGUUACAUUUGUGGAAUAAAAGGUAAACCAAGCACAAUUAUGAAAAUGGAUUUCUUGUUUGCACCCAUGCUCUCAGAGCUAACCCAGCUAAGAAGGCUACUCUAGAAUCAGAUCUCAAUUGGGUUACAGACCUUAAUAUGGCAGUUGACUGAAUGAAGGUAUUUUUAAGCAUUGGACAGCUAGUAUGACAGUCUCCAUGCAGAGACACUUUUAAAUUGUGUACUUCAGUUCUGGUUUGUGAUGCUGAACAAAGACCUUUCAGUAUUUGUUAUACAUUUCAGUAUUCAAUAUACAAUUCAAAAUGUCUCAGAAGCAUUUUGUUUGAUAACUUUAUAUUGAAUUAUGUAUAAGGACACUAACAUCUUACACAACUCAGAUGUGAGCCAUGAGUGUUGAGGACUAUUUAAGAUGCUUGCAAGGGUUUAAUGUUCAAUUUCGGUUCAAUUUGUGUUAAGCUUGUACAUCAGGCUCCCAGAUCUACUUCUGCUCUACUGCUUUUAGUGCUGUUGUAUGGGGUUGUUUUAUCCAAAGUGCAGGACUUUGGAUGUGUGACAUCUUAUCAAUGUCCCUUCAAUCAAUAUUUAGCUCAGUGUAAUCUGUGGCUUGCUAUUGGAUGGAGAACGUACCUGUCAUACUACUGACCAUUGGUGUUGAGAUGUACUUGAGAAGUAGUUAUGGAAGGUAUAGUACUGUUUCUUUUAAGCAUCCCAAGUAAUUGGGUAUGUGAGGAAUCAUUUAAACUUUUACAAACUGGCAAUGGUUUUCCUUUAAAAACUUUUUUAUUGUGCAUUGAAUAUUUAGGAGUACAGUAUGUACUGUGACUAGUGCAAAAGAAUAUAGUUGUCUUUUCUUUCCAAUAUGCAUUUCAUUUGUGUGAAAGGAAUUUCACUUCCAUCUGUGAAAAGAUACCUUUUCCAUGAUUUAAAAUUGCUUUAAGGUCUUCACAAAGAUGUGAUGUGAUGAUUGCCUCACCACAACUAAAGCAUUUUUUUAACCAUGCAGUUAAAAACUUGUUUUUGUAUAUGAAUAGAAGUUGUCAUUUAGUUGUUGGCUUUGUGAUUUUUAUGCUCUCUGCAUAUUUCACUUUGUUGUAAGUAAAUUCCUUUUAGUACAUCCAGAGUUUCUGAAGUUACAUAGCCAAUGUGGCAUCUAAGCCCUACUAAUUACAGCUGUUUUUCAAAACUGUCCGAUUCAGGAAAUGAUAAAUGCAGCUGAGUUAGUCUUUUGAGAUCUCUUGCCUUGGGGGUAACACCCAAAGUUUCUUUGCUGUGAGGACAGUGACGUGGGGCUUCUUCAAAUUUGUCUUCUGUCUUUUUUGCACUGUUAACAGGUACAAAACAAAGAAAUGAAGAUGUGUAAGACAAUACCUACAUUCAUCCUGUUGUUUACAGGAUAUUGUGUUAAAAAUAUGCGUGUUGCUGCAACGGAGCCAGAAGCCAAAUCAAGAACAUCAGUGUCACUUGUUUCUAAUUCCACACAGAGCUUUUCAACAGACACACAAACUUUUCAACUAACGACAACAAGUUCUUACCUUCUAGAUUCAGAGACAGGAAUUGCCGAUUCCUCCACAGCAAUAAGUAAUGCAUCUAUAUUAGUGGCAGGACUCAGCAUUUUCUUUGUGCUGUUCUUUCUUUGUGCAAGUCUUGGUGUUUGGAGUGCACGGAAAUUGUCGAAGCGAGAUUCAUUUGACGUUACUCCUGCUGCCCCAUCUGGUGAAGCUUAGGUGACCUUAAGAACAUCAAGACAUGAGAACCGAUGAGAAAAGAAGAAAUGAAAGUCCCAUUAGUUGGUAGCUAUUUAGAGGGCUAUUAUUUCCACAAGAGCAGAAUAUUAAAAAAAAAAAUAAAUUAUUGAAACUAAAGAAAUCUUACUUUCCAAAGUUGGCACACUUAAGUUAUGUCUAUACUAAUGAAUUAAACUUAGCACAGGAAUAUUGCAACUUCUGAGACUUAGCUGGAAUAAUCCUUGUUUAUGCUUAUGUUGUGUUCUACCUAUUGGGAACAGCUCCUAGAAGGCUCUAACUUCUAAGUAACAGUCAAGUUACAUGAAUAAACAGUAUUCCAGUAGAUGGGAGUUUCCUAGACAUUGUUUAAUUUAUUAGUCUAGAUGCAUAGCCUUCUUGUUUAAUGCUAUUUCUAAAUGAUAUGUUUGAUGUAUCCCUCAUUUAGGGACAGGUAUUUUCAGUGAUUAAUCAAACCUCGCCACUGCAAACUUUAAUUUACUCACAGCACUGUGUUUGGCUGCUGCAUUGUAACUGUAAAAAGCUAGUCAUUUAAAUGUAAGUCUUGUUGUCAUAAGCUUAUUACAGUGCCUUAGGCUGGAGUGUAAAUCUACAGUUGAACUGUGUUACAUUUUCUCAGUUUGCAGAUGCUCCCAUGGGAAAGAAUAUUCUCUUGCCUUGACCUUGGGCAAAAGAUGAGCAUUCACACUGAGUGAUAGUGCAGCGUAAAAUCAUUCUGGCAUGUACUUCUGAGAAACUACAUAAGUUUAAGUGUGUGAAACCCAUGUUGUGACAAAACUACUACCCAAAUUCUGUAGCCCGAACAAAGGCAUGCUGUUGUUUUCAGCACAUCAUCUGUUUUAUAAGAGGGGGAGUAAGGAAAUUUCAGGAAAAACUAUUUUUAUAGAAUGUGAAAAAUAUGUUAAGACUUUGAUAACAUUUAUCCAUUAAAGUCAGCAACUCUCUCUCUGCGGUAUUCACUCCUCUAUAUAACUGAUGAACCUUUCUUAUACAAGUUCUAAUCCUUAAUAAUAAUCAUCAUCAUCUAGACUCAAAGCUGAAACCUAAAUUUUAUUGGAAGGAUACCAUCAUUAUUUUCCUAACUGAGUAGCACGUACUGUGUCAGAGACACACAGUGGCCGGUGACUGUGGUGGGGCUCUGCCUGAGCAAUGUGGGCAGUGUGGGGAAGAAGGGGCCAGCAGACGUUUGCCCAAAUAGCUGCGUUGCUAUAGCACAUCAGGAGAAAGAGAUCUGAAGAGGUAAGUCUGAGGCAGUCUGAGGUUGCUUUAUGAGAACAUUCCUGUGUGAGCUUUAGCAAAGGAACUUCAUUUCUGAAUUUGGGAGCCUGUAGUUCAAGACAAAAUUGUUAGCGUGUUUGUACCUCAUAUUUUUCUGUGAAGAUGAAUACUUUUGAGAGCAUGCAACAUGUGGGUUCCACAGUAAUGAAGCUAUACUGAGAAGUGUACAUAUGAAGGAAAUCACAGAUUAUGUCUGCAAAUCAUACCAAGCCAGUUAUUUUUCUAUUAACAGUAGAGAAGAAUACUGUGCCAGCUUUCAGCUUGAAUUAUCAAUUGAUGUUCUAUGCAAAUAAAAACAUGCAAGUAUUUUUUUUUUGACAGUCUGCGUUUACUUCGUAAGUAAAAGCUUUACUUCAAUACGUUACUUCAUUUACUUUAUUUCAGAGAAGUAAAAUGUCUCUGUACAAACUAAUGGUUGAAAAUUAGCCACUUUUUCUAUUUUCCCAAUACAGAAAGCUGUUUGUUGUGUCCAGUUAUCAGUUUAAGAAUGAGAUAAUUAUAUGAACUGUAUCUGCAGCAGUACUAUUUAGGAUGGGAGAGUUGUGCCAUAGCUGCCUUGUAUAUUAUUUUUUUAAAUGCACAUCGUAUGUGGUUGUGUUUUUUUUCCAUUAAAUAGAAGUUUAUUAUAUGCUUAAAUGCCUUCCUAGAUACUAGAUCAGGGUGCACUAGGCAACAAACUGAAUGUGGAAGAAAUAAGAAUAAACAUUUUUCUAUUUUCCAGGAAUAAUUAAUACAAACCAUGUUUAUAUUGCUUUUUAUUAGAUAUCUGCAAACUUAAAGGUGAAUGACUCCACUUUUGGGAAUGUUUUUGUAGUGGCUGUAUUUUAUCUGAUCUUUUACAGAACUUCUUACUAGAAGUUUAAUACACUAGCUGUUAUUUUGUGUUCACUUUUUUGUUAUUGCAUUGUUUAAUGUUUGUGUAAAAUUCCCUCUAGCUUGGGUGACCAGUCCCGUGAGAGUGGAUGCUGAAUACUUAGCCAAUAAACUACCUGUGAACUUGAAAUUAUUUGGGUAAAUGAAGCCGGUGCAACAUUUGACCUGACACAUGCACUCACAAAGCUGUUUGCUUGGCUCAUUGUGCUGCAAUUUCAUUGUGUGCUGAUCAGCAGAGUCUGUCGUUACAUAUGGAUGGAGUGGAUGACUGUAGCUGCUUGCUGCAAAACACUGGGGAGGUGGUAUGAAAAAGCAAGUUUAAGCAAUAUGACAGCAGAAAAGCCUGUGGAGAAGGACCUGGGGGUCCUGGUGGACGAGAAGCUGGAUGUGAGCCAGCAGCAUGUGCGUGCAGCCUGGAAAGCCAACUGUGUUCUGGGCUGCAUUAAAGAAGGGCUGGCCAGCAGGGAGGAGGAGAUGAUUGUCCCACUCUACUCAGGUCUUGUGAGGCCCCAUCUGGAAUAGUGCAUCCAGGCCUGAGGCCCCCAGCACAAGGACAUGAAGAUCUUGGAGUGGGUCCAGAGGUGGACCACUAAGAUGAUCAGAUGGCUGGAGCACCUCUCCUAUGAGGAAUGGUUGAGGGAACUGGGCUUGUUUAGCUUGGAAAAGAGAAGAUUUCGGGGAGACCUCAUUGUGGCCUUCCAAUACUCUCCAAUACAAGGGAGUGUAUAAACACGAGGGGGAACAGCUGUUUACUAGGGUGGAUAGUGAUAGGACAAGGGGGAAUGGUUUUAAACUGAGACAGGGGAGGUUUAGGAUAUUAGGAGGAAGUUUUUCACACAGAGGGUGGUGAUGCACUGGAACAGGUUGCCCAAGGAGGUUGUGGAUGCCCCAUCCCUGGAGGCAUUGAAGGCCAGGCUGGAUGUGGCUCUGGGCAGUCUAGUCUAGUGGUUGCAUGUAGCUUUAAUAAGUGAAAUGCCAAGGCUAAUUUUAGUGAACUACUUUGAAUGUAUCAGGUAUAUCUAGCAGCAGGGUUUUUUUACCUCCAUUUUAAACUAAAAGAAAAAAUAUUCUGGAGGGCCCUUCAGUUUAUAAUAGUCAGCUUGCUUUAAAUUUUAUUUUGUAGCUCCCUCCAGCAGAAAUGCUGAAAAUUGAACAGUAUAAAUUAGGUAGGUAAGUGCAGAGAUGUGUAAGUCAUCUUGAAAAUUUUCUGCAUUUCACGUACUCUGAUUAACAUAGUCGUGUGGUAUAUAUAGACUGUCAUGAGCUUACUGAGGAGAUUGCUUUCUGUCCAUUUGUUAAAGUUGUUUUGAAGUUGACUGUAGGAUGUGGAUUUUGACUGCCUUAAUGAAUCCUAUUCAACAGCAAAUAUUGCCAGGGAGGAUAUUGUAUCUCAGUAAUUGCACUCUAGGUGGAGAAAAAAUACCUCAGUUCUCCAGAAAAAUGAGAGGUGUAGUCAUAUAGAGUGUUACUUGCUGUACAGAACUGCAGAAGAUGCCAGUGAAGGUGCAGUAACAUGGUCAGUAGAGCCCUAAAGGUUAUGCUUUACUCCAGCUCUGGAAAAUUCUGGGUUCUGAGAAAGAUCAUCAGGAAAAUCACGGUGAGCAUCUGAAAAAAGCUCGGUCCCAGCAGAGCACCCUACGUAAGUCAGGAAUGCGUCAGUGUCUUCUCUCAUUGCAGUUUGCAUGCUGUUAGUCAUUCAAAGAUUCCCCAUAAGAGUAGAAUCACAUGCACUAACUGGAUCAGGAAGUUUCUUACAUGAGAACAUGUGCGCACUGAAUGGCUGAAGUUGGAAGGGACCUCUGGAGGUCAAAUGUGUGCAAGUAUUUUGUAUUUUUCUGUGACAAACAGAUACAAAUUCAAUUCUAAAAAAAAAAUCCAGCUCUCCCUCUUCUGUACAAAAUACAGAAUCAUCACUGCAAUUAGCAAAUCGGACUCAAACUAUGUAGAAGAAUCAAAUAUGUUUAUUCAGUAAGUGGCUGUAGCAGGCUUUCAGAUACAGAGCUGCUGAAAAUGGAAAAGUCUAGUAUAGCAGUAAAGUACAGUGCUCUAGCACUUUCAAACAGUAAAUGGUGGUAGAUACAGUACUCUAAUUGUGAAUUUCCAAGGGUAAACCAGAUAUUGUUUUAUAGAAAUAUAUAUAUAUAUGCCGACAUUAUUUCUUCCUCAUUUAUAAUAUUUGGCUAAAAUCUAGUCUUUGUACAAUUUGUUAAUGGAGAAAUUCCUUUUAAAGUUUCAUUGUUAGGCAUAUUUAUUUCAGUGAAUACAAUUUCACAGUUGUCUAUUAUACUGAGUUUGCAAAAUGUCCUAAGCCAGUCAAAAAUUAGCCUCAGGUUUUUGCUCAUCACAAGUAAGCAUAGAUCUGGUGCCUGCAAGUGAAGUUAAAUGAAUGUCUCUCUCUGAAUAACACAAAGGAAAAAAUAAUCUACCAUCCCUUGGUACACAUUUGCAGUUUUAACAGCAGAUAGGUCAGAUAUGGCAGGGUCUGCAUGUAUGAAUAGCAAUAUUGUUAUUCAUCCAUCAGCCUCAUUACACCUAGGCAGUCUGUCUGUGCCCUGUUAUAGGCCCUUAUUGUAACCUGAGAGUAUGUUUUGAUCAAGAUCCUGGCUUUAAAUAAGUACAUUUUAAGAUGGGAUUUUUGUGGGGAUGAUUAACGUGACAUCCCAAAUUCUGAUCUUACAGUGAUUAGAGGGAGAAUGAAUUCAUCACUACUGCAUUUUGAAUCCUAGCACCUCGAAACACUCAUGUUACUCAGAAAUCUGGAUUUGCUUUUUUAUCUGCAUAUUGAAUUUCAAGACCGAUGGUAGACCUUGUUGAUAGAAAAAUUAUCUGUAAUCAUUGGAAGGAUUCCUAUAAAAACAGUGACAUGGCAAAAAGUUUUAUAAACACAGGAGGACGUAUCAACUUUGAAGUCUGUAUAUUCAGUACUAGACAAAUAGGAAGUUAUGGCUAGCUUAACUUAAUAGCUGAACAGAAACGGAACAGAGGAAAGAAACCUAUAAAACUAGAGUUAGGGGGUAGCAUGUUUAAGUUUUUCAAAGAAGAUUAUGAAUUCACCUUGUUCAAGCUUUGCAUUUUUCAUACAGUCAGGCAAGACUUAGAGCUGUGGGGAAGAAAAGGUACCUUUUAGAUUUAGAUUUAAAGGUACUGGUAAAUGGUACCUUUAUAUAUUAUUAAACUCAUAAAAAGUCUAUUACAAAAAUAUUUGUAGCACUUCUGUGAUAGAAAUAGACAAUGAUGAGCAUUUGGGUUUUCUAGUGACUGCAGAUUCCGUGUUUGAUUUUGCACAUGCUUUUGCAGGAGUAAGCAGUGUGCAUGAAGAGCAACAAACACAUUAGGAAGAUAGAGAAGGAUUAAGGUGAAGAGGUAGGGAGAGAGAAUUCCUUAAUUACUGCUCAAUUCAGCCCCUGAUUUUAAGUUAUUUUGAUGUAUUCACUAUUCCAGUUUAUAAAGUUUAUAAGGGUCUUGGGUUGAAAUGCAUCAUUUUUAAAAGCCAUUUAUGCAUUUAAGACCUUAAGUCACAGAUGGUUUGUGUGCUGCUGAAAUGAAAUUUAUUAAUGUAAAUUUGGUACCUCUUCGGCAAUGUACUUUUUUUUUUCUGGGAAUCCAAAUUGAUUUCUUCCUGCUGGGCUCCUGAUGAGUUUGUAUUAUUGUAGUUAAGAUGAAGAAACUUCAUUCUGUUCAUUUUAGGCUAAUCAAGCAAAAGUGAAAUACAAUUACUUGGUUGCAGGUUACUUGGUUAUUUGUCAGAAAACUUAAAUUGAUUUUAGAAAUGAUCAUAAGAGUUUUGGUAUCUUUCAGUAUCUAGAUCUCAGUUCUCUUUCACAGAUUUUACUAACACCUGUUCCGGCUAGUACCAAUAAAGAGCACAUCUUUUUUUUCCUGUGCAGGUGUAUUUGCUGGGAAGCCAAUAGAGGAAAUCAAGCACUUCUGUAUGUGCUAAUUAUAAAUACGAUAGGCAACACAACUGAAUUGCAUGUCAAUGCGAAAAUUAGUUGAAAAUUUAAUUUUGGAUGGAAAUUACCCAGAACAUCAAUAGAUGGUUUGGCAUCAUUUUUUUUGGCCACAGUGAUUUUGCUUCUCAGCAAGCUAGAGCUUUCGGUUUGGUGCUCUGCCAAUGCCAUCUAAGACCAUAGGCCAUGAAUUCAUGGAAAAAUAGCAACCUGUAUGCCAAUUGAACUGUCUGCUCUCCUCUUACGAUCAGAGUUGUGUAACCUGCAAAAAUCCUGUCUUGUGAAUGUUUCUCUCACCUAUUCAAAUAAUUUACUUGCCCAUACAAACAUAGCAAAUAUCCAUAAAAGAGUAAAGGAAAGAUAUCUUGAAUUUGAAAUAAAAAUAAAGUUUCUGUAAUUAUUUGCUAGUCCUGAAAGAGUUUGUGGGGGUUAGCAGCAAAGCCCUUCGCUUACAUGCAUGUAAAUCAGAGCAAUGUAUUGUGUUGGAAAGGUUGUGUAUGGCAAGCAUAGUUAUCCACUUCUCACAAAACAGCUUGAAUCAGCAACUCAGGAUGUGACUGUGCAAAGCUAAUGGAUGGGUUGUAGAAGAGAAAACAACUACUGCAAGCAAGGAAAAAAGAAAAACAAACAACAAAAAAAGCUGUACUUUCCAUCUUCCUGGCUCUAGAACCUUAAAACUUUCUUUCACUUCUGGUUUAAAUGCACCAUUAUUUCAUGGCUUAACGAAGGGCAUUCACAGAAGAUACAAGAAGUCAGAUGUACUGAUGAAUGGGGCCUAAAAAGGUCUUAGAAGGAAGUCAUGAAUUGUGUGACAGUAUUGUAAUCCCUGUCUGCUCUUCACCAAGGUGUUCAUACUAGAUUCAAGUAUUCAGCCAGCUGAACAGAUGGAUGCCUGAGACCUAUUUACAUGGACUUGUAAUGAAUUCUGUUUGUUGCCCUGUUCUGAACAAAAUGCAGACAAUUAAGAAAAAAAAGGGAAUCUGGGAUUUCAUUCAUAUUCAUCAAGGAGUAUGCUUUAUAAAGCUGUUUUCCUACUACAGCACUUAAUUCUCUGCCCUUUACAUUGCUACAAGUGGAAAAAGAGCACCAGGAAUUUUCUCCUACUUUCUCCUUUAUUUUUCCAAGCUUGAGAAAUGGAGCAGCAUCCCUUCCUCUGCCUGGGGAGGUGCGUUACAUGUUGGUGUGAGACUGUGCUGUGUGACUGAGACACCACAGUUCAGUCCUACCUCCUCAGAAGGCGGUGUCUGAUGGCAGGAUAUGCCCUUAUGAGAACAUACAUAUUUUCACAGAAUCUUCAGUUUCCUGUCAGUAAGACAUGUUAGGUAUGUUUUAAUGACAACUCCAGACUAGAGGAGGCUGGUGCUAAGUAUUUUGCAGCUAUGUAGAUAAUGCCAACAAAACAAAACAAAAAAACAAACAAACAAACAAAAAAACAAACCCAGAAGCUGAAUGUCAAGUUAGAUGUAGAUGUAAUUGGGCCAAGUAUUAACUGAAGAAAGUGGGUAUAGCAGCAGGCCUUUGAAUACUAGAGUAGGCUUGGCUUUUACCAUGAAAAAAUUUCAUUUAGACUCACAGCUAAAAAUGUCACUGCUGUGUGUGUACUCACUUCAGCUCAGAAAAUGUGGAAAAUAUGAUCUUCCAAAAUUCCCUUGUGUUUUUUAACCACACAGAAUCCUGGAACCCUCAGAGGUGAUGUGGAUACACAGAACAAUGCAAAUUUUAUGUAGUCACACAAAGUACAUGACCAAAAUGCUUUCCGAAUAUAAAUAAUACAGAUACAGAUGUCCCUCUUUGCUAAGAUGUAAGAAAUCACAAAGUGUAGUUCUAAAAUGCAAUGGCUAAAAGCUGUGUUUUCAAUUUAAAGUGAGAGCUGGGAGCAUGUGAAGAAUAAAUGAAAUGGUGAGAUUAAGCAAGACUGUGGGAUAAAUACUCUGGUUCAGAUAUAAAGGCUUUAGUGACAAUGUCAGAUGCCUGAGGGUGAGAGUGAAGGACAGAAAAGAUCAGGGUUAUAAAUAGUUUACAUAAAUUGAAGAAAUAGGUCUAAGAAUUCCAGAAGAGUAUAAGGAUGAAAUAGCAAAGAGUACAAAAAAGCCAGUGAGUAGAACAGAUGGGGAACUGAGAUUUGAGGACUGAAACAGCCAAGAUAAUAAGCAACCAACAACCACAAAGUUGGAGAAGAAAUCAUUGAGGGCAGGGAAGACAAUUGGAGCUGGAGGCUUGAAAGGCAGGAGCAAGACAGAAGAAAAUGGAAGAGAGAUGUUUUGAAGUAUAGUGAAAUCACGCAGCGCAACAUUUACUAUUUGAAAACUAAAGAUGAGUACAGGCCAAAGUCAUGAGUAUUGCUUUGAAGUGCCCAAAUGUUAGAAAAGACCAGCAAGUUUCAGAAUAAGCUCAUAUCUGACCUGAUUACUCGAAACCAAUGCUGUCUUUAUAAAAUAGGAAAAACAAAAUUGCACUUUGAAGCAAUCCUGAACUCAGUGUGCUUUGGCCCAAAUAUUGAUGAUGUAAGAAUUCUCCUUUUAAAAAAAAAUAAAGAAUUGUACCUUCAGCAGCUUUACAAACGCAGCUGUUGGGCAUAGGCUUCAAUUAUAUGUAAGUCAGUAUAUUGGUACCAGCUUGUGAAAAGAUCGUUAUAGGAUUCCUUUUUUUCCUUUUUUCCCUUCAGGGUCUUUUAGUUAACAGGAAAACCCAAGUGAACUGGUACUUCCAUCUCAGAUUGAAAUCAGCUGAAUAAAAGUUUUCUUUCCAAGAUUUCCUGGCAUGAUGGAAGAGAAAAAUCUUGCAAUCUCUGAAUCUUACGUAGUAAGUGAAUAAGGAAAUAGGAGUUUUGUCCUGUAUUUCUGAAUUGUCCUGUACAUUUCUGAAUGUAAGUCUUGUAUUUUUUUCUGAAUGGUAGAAGCACUUUCUAUGGCAAUUUCUGCACAGCACCACUGCAGUCUGAUUGUGUGGACAUACAGGUAGAUUUAAAGAAAACAAGCAGCUUUUUCAAAAUGUACUUUGUCAGCUUCAUAGUAUUUCAUCUUUGUGGUACAAUGCAAGCUGAGCAAGUUAAUGAUUAUCACUAUAUCCUUAUGAAAGGAUAGUAAUAAUCUUUCUUUCCUAUUAUUGAGGAGAGUUCUUGCUGACUCUUGACAGGUUUGCUGGUGGUGGUGUAAUUGAUGGUUGUUCUGUUUUGUUUUUGUAGCAGAAGCCAGGUUCUGCUUUAUCACCCAUUUUUUUGUUAACCUAACUUCGGCCUGUUCCAGAGAAAUAUUAUUAAACUGUAGAAUGGGCUCAGAUUUUUGGAAGCUCUGUUUUGAACAGAGUCCAGUGUGCAUGGUGUUCAAGCAGAUUACUUCCUUUGCUUCAUGAAAUGACUGAUGAAGUUCUCUCUCUUAAAAAAAAAAAAAAAAAAAAAAAAAAAAAAAAAAAAAAAAAAGGCCUUCUAUGGUGUCAUGACUGGCUGGAUAGAGGUGAGAGCAGAGGAUAUUGUUUAUCUUGACUUCAGCAAGGCUUUUUGACACUGUCUCCCAUAACAUCCUUGUAAGUAAGCUGAGGAAAUGUGAGGUAGAUGAGUGGAUUAUGAGGUGGAAUGAGACAAUUUUGCAGUAGUGCAAGAAGAUGUUAAGACUGACACUUGUUUAGCCAUGGCAUUAUAUUUUUAUUAUUUCAAAAAGCUAUUCUCACUGCACUGCAUAUGUCUUCACAGAGUUAAACAUUUUGGAUCUAAAGUAGCAGGAGACACCUAGUAUUCCUACAAAAUUAAUGGAGGAGAUUUUGGAGAUCUUCUGGUGAUCCAGUUUUUGUCCAAAGAAAUUGUAGCUCUGGUAAAUAUGAAUAGAUAAUUUCAAAAUACAUUUUCUGUACUUUUCCCUCAUCUUUCACCCAAUUCCAAGUGGUGUCUUAAUUAAACGUGAAGUGAUAUCUAAGCUAGGUCAUUACUUCUCCGCUAGUGAAAGCAGAUUAGAGUAGAAAUUGACAAAAACUUCUACAUGUCUAAGGAAUUUAAAUAGCUGUGUAAAAAAUGGGGUGUUUUUGAAUAACAUUGAGUUAUUCAACUAGAUGUUGAAGUUUUCAGCUAGCUUUCAAAAUACCCAGUCUUGGUGUGUAAGCUCUGCAUCAAGCAUGCAUCUAUUUUAGCACAUAGAUUCAGCCACACUAGGGAAAAAGGCUAUUUUUAAGACAAUGAAAUAUUUCAUCUUUUACUUGGAACAUACACUUGGUUGAUGUUAUAUGUUAACAUUUCUACAUUUACUUACUUUAACUGAACUUAUUCCUUUUUGGUCAGGGAAUAAGAAGGAAAAUAAAGUAGUACCAUAAACCAGCUACAUAAAAAGUUUUAAAAGCACAGGAAGUGAAAUGCAAACAAACCAAUUUGUUUCCACCUUAACUUUUUUUUAUUCUAUUUCAUUUUAUCAAUUCAGGUUGUUUUGCUUUCUGACAGGAAAAAUAUCUUACUUUUUUCUUCUGCUCUAAAUCAUUUUAACAUCACUGGGAAACUCUUAUAUCUUACUUCAGCCUGACGAAAAUAUUUGCAGAUGUGCAGAAACAUGCUCUACAUAUGCUUUAGAGAAUGCCUGCUUUAGAAGAUGCAGUAAGGAUAAGACAGUGAUACAUAAUUGCAGCUAAUUUUUUGGUUGACAAGUUUCAGCAUCUUAUUUUAGGUCUAUUGCAACGGUUAUGAUAGAUUUCCUUGAAAGAUUUGCUGUUGCAACAGCUUGUUGAUCAAAAUUGUCUUUCCUUGGUUGGAAUGGAAUUUGAGAAUUAAACGGGCUAAAGAAGAAACCAAAUUUCAAGGGCAGAUCAGACAAUCCUGUAAAUCUUCAGUCAUCACUCUAGAGACAGACUGAAAAUAUGAAGAGUGCACAAAUUGUUUCAUGGAAGAUCUUCAAGCAGAGUUUAAUGUUUUUGGUUUGGAGAACUGGGGUUUCUUCAUCUUAAUCAAAUUCUUGUCUCAGGCACAAAUCUUUCUCCUUUCCUGCCACAGAACAAAAAACGACCUACUUUUUCCCAGCUAUACCUUACUCUGGAAAUAGAAACACAUGCUCGUUCUGAAGAUAUGCCACUAAGGGUAAAAAACCAUCUUUGAGCUGUCACAUCACUGAAAUCUUUGGCAAAUGCAGGAAAGGAGGACUUGGCAUUCACAGAAGCUGGCUGCAGCUGUGCUUUAAUUGAUACUCUCCAGUAAUACCAUGAAAUUGAUCACUUGUUAAAAUCUGAAGCUACUUUUUAGUUCAAUAUUUCAUUUAAUCAAAAUUGCUCACGAAGAUGUAUAAUGUUUCUGUACAUACAUGACAGUUCAGAUGUGACUGUGGAACAACCUUUUUUUUCUGUCUGACCCGAGUGAUUUAGCCAUUGGACAGCAACUAAUUUGUAUAUUUAAUAAAAUCUAGAAAUGUUUAGUCUAUCCAUGUAAAGCCUUAAGAAAAAUCCCCUCAUUUUCAGAAUAGUUUCUGCAUGAAAUUUUGAUGCAUUGGUGUAAGUGUUCUUUUGGGGGUUAGUAACGUGAUUUAUAGCUGCCAACUGAAACAUGAAGUGUUUAGAAAAAAAGUGCGUAUUUAAUCUGCUAUGGUUUUUUAGAGAUGCAUCUGCAGUUUGUUUUGUUGUAGUUUUUGGAUACAUACUCCACUUUUUUCUUCAGCAAGUCCAUCCUUCUUUUGCAGCUAAAGCUGGUAUGUAAGUUUACAGAUAACAAUAUACAGACUGUAUUAGACAAGAAGCCUUGCAGAUAAUUCAGACUGGAGAUAACCAGAUCUGAAAAAAAGAUGUUUAUAGAAAUGUCUAGGUAUAGGUAAAGCCCCUUAGAGGUAGGAUACAUACUUUCACUUGCUGUAGGAAGCUGAGUGGUAGUCUUUCUAAAUGUUUUGUAAAUAUUUGGAACUUCUGCUGUAGUUUUCAAAACAGUUUUUAGAAAAGCUCUGCAUACAGACACACCCAGAAGAUUGCCAAUACUGUCUGCUGUAACUCAAUGCAGGAAUUAACAUUCUUUUCCUGUAUGCAUGCCAUAGCUGAGCUUCUGGUUAGUUUUAUCUUCCUUUUUCUUUCUUUUUUUUUUUCUCCUUGUAAAUCUCCUCCCAUGUUUGUAUCCUGUGUCCUAUUUCAUGAAUAGUUCAGGACAUACCCUCUUCAAAAAAAGAAAAUUCAGAAAAGAUGGUUAUUCUUAAGCAUUGUGGCAAAACUUGUGGUUACGCAAGUAAAAAUGGCAUUUACUUACUCAGAUUUUUUUUUUUUUUAAUUUUUAUUUAUUUAUUUAUUUUAUUUGCACAUAAGGAAGUCUAUCAGGCCUUCUGUCCAUCAUGGGCCAGUUACUGAGGCUGUAUGCCCAGUGCACACCAAUUGCAAAGCUGUGCCCACAUUAUAGUUCUGUCCUCAGAAAAAGUACACUGGUUAACAAGGUUCAUCUGACAGCACUGCCCACUCAGCUACGGGGCCACAAAUGUAAUGGGCGCAGGAAAAAUUCAAAAUAACUUGUUUAAAAAAAAAAAAAAAGUGUUUUUUGAAUAACUUGUUGGAAUGUGUAGCAUUUUUCAUGGCACCGUAUUUAUUAGCAUAGAUAAGAAAAGUGUCUUCAGUAGGCUUUCCCUGGUGAUCGUUCAAAAAAAAAGGUAAGUCUGGCCAACAGCUCCUGAAGGGAGGCAGGAAGAGCACGAUUAUGAGGCCGCCGUUUUGCAGCAGGGGGCGCCAUUUUACAGCGGAGGCCGCCAUUAGAGGGUGUAACGGACCUGAUGCUGCUCGUCCUCCUGAGGGUGAGGGAUGAGAAGGCAGAAAGCUCAGGGUGGUACAUGGCUGCAGGUAUGGGGUGAGAACUGUGAAGCUGCUGGGAGGAGAUAUGUGAGUGACCUCAGGCAAGCUCACAUGGGUAGCAACCAUAUGGUGUCACACCACAGGGGCCCCUGGGCUGAGGUAUCUGUAAAACUGCAACAUACUAACCUGCCGUCUGCAAACUGAGAUUGUGUGCUUCCUUGUUUGCCUUGUGACUGGUAAGGGUGAUGGAUAGUGCAGCUGAUAAGAUGUAGAACACAGUUAUUUUUUUGUUUUUACAUUAAUGCAAUGCAUUUCCCUGUCAGCUUGUGGUGCUCCAUUGGUGUGGUACAAUGUGGUGAGUGUGGGGUGGAGGCAAAAUCUGAAAGUUUUUUGUGGAAAACCAUCUUUGUUUUUCUAGCUAGACCAACAGCUUACCUUUAUUAACUUGGAUCAUUUGUUUCAUCCCACAUUAUUUUGCAGAUGAACUGAAAUAAUUGACUUGUCUCUAGUUCAAUAAAACUCAAAUUUAUCUUAGACCUACGAAACAAAAUCGUAAUGCAAUAUGUGUAAGGCAGCAUUUUAUGUGCUGAUCUGAACAUGGAAAGCUGGGGAAAGAAAAUAUGAAUUCUGAUACUUGAUCUUGAAAUUCUGCAAGUGUGGCCGCGGUGUCUUUGAAAUAACUCCCUUACUAAAGGAAAACAUUCUAAUUCUUUCUACCUGAUUAGAAUUUAUGACUGUCUAAAUAUGCUAUGUGGCUGAAUUACAAGACAUAUGUGUAUGUUAAACUGGUGACUGUGGAAAGUAACAGUGAUAUACAACUUUGAGAAAAAUUAUCAAAAUCAAAAGCUGAUGUGACCAGUGGACUCUAAUAGAUAUAAGUAGUCUGAGUGCUUGUCAUUUGUCCACAUGAUCUUAAUGUUGGCAGCCUGCUGAAAGUGAUGCGUGGGAAACCAGUGCAAAGUGCUGAUUUUUUUUAUGCUAAUGGGGAAAAGUCCAUAUUGUUCAAAUUAAAUCCUAAAGCAGAAACAAAUCAUCCAGCCAAGCCCAUCCUAUGGAGUUCCAUUGAAACAGUUAGUGGUCUCUUCUGUGACCUCAGAGUUAUAAAAAUUAAACAGUGUUAGGGGGCAGCUGUUUUCAAGUGCUUCUGUCUGCUGAAAGCGGCUGAGAUUCUCCUGCAGAUGGCUAUUUAAGUUAAAAGCCAAAUGGAGAGAUCACAGCAAUUAGUGCACAUUGGCUUCUAACUGCAUCAGAGUGAAUAAUGUGGGAGACAUGAGCCAGGACUCUGCCUCAGUCUGUGUUUUUUCCCACCAGAAACUGAGUACCAGCAAUUCUUUUCAAUUAGGGGGGGAAAAAAAAAAAAAGAGGAAUUAAAAAGAGGAGGGAGAAUUUCUUGAUGCUUCACUUGAACAAAAUAAAAGAGAUUAUGCAAAGAUGGGAGGAAAGAAAAAGUAUUUCAAAGGGAAGAACAGCCUACUUCAUAGCUCUGACUGGAUUUGUUGUAUACUGUUUCUUCUACUUUUGCCAUAUAGUGCCUACCCACAGGUUCAUUGCUGGCUCAUAACAGGGAAUGAAGCUAUACCACUUUUUUUAUAUGUUGCUUAAGCCCUGGAAAAGCAUAAUAGGACUUCAGCAUUUUUACUUAGAAUAACUGAAGGGAAAACUGAUCUAUCAUCUGAAAGAUUUAGAAUUUCCUGAGGAAAAAUGGAGGGCCAAAACACAAAUUCACAUUUUACUUUUUACUGGAGGAGCUCUUCUGUGUAAGAGCUAUACCAUAGAGCAUCAGCUUCACUAGAACUGGUAGAACAUUAUCCAAUAUCAGGUACCUUUUUCAUCACUCCUGAAUAUCUUCAAAUUUCUGCUUUCCUGAAGGUUUCUAGCUAUUCACUGGAAUGACUUGGAGCAAGGAAAUUGCUUUGGAAGAUAGUAAUCAGGGAAUUAGUCUCAGUUUUCAAGUCAAGAAAUGCCUCUGAUGAAUGAUCAAACCAUCAUUUUUUCCUUCAGGUCCUUUUCUUUGUGGGCAUGCAAAACAAAGGCAAAAUGUUAAAUGGCCAUUGUUCAAGUCAGCAUUCAGCUUUUGCCUCCAGCAAAUGGAGUGAUAUAAGUUUGAUUGCUUUAUGUUGUUGAGUUGUUACUGAAUGACUUGUCAUAAGCAUCUAGGGACUAGUAAUCUGUAAGUUGGUAUUUAUUCCAUUGGUGCUGCAGUGAAAAGGUUUAUUCCUGAAAAAAAAUGAAAAUGUAGGUUGCUUUUUACACUGCUGUUGUAGCUUCCUUGAAAAUGAGGAAUAAGAAGCCUGUAACUAAUAAAUCAAAACCAGAGAUACUUCUUAAAGUUGUCUGAGGAGAGACUCAAAGUUGGUUCUUAAUAAUCUUUGAGAGAGCUAUCAUGGUCGUUGCGGGAGGUACCUGAGGAAGAAAGAAAUGUCAUUCAGUCCUGUCAAGAGCAGCUAGAGGGAGAAUCUGGAGAACUGCAGUUUGUUAAUCCUCACCUUGGUCUGUUGGGGGCAGUGAUAGAGCAACUAAGCCUGGAAGCAGUGUCCAUCAUGAGCAGGACAAGACACUGAUCAAGGAUUUAUGAAGGGAAAGUCAUCCUUCAUUAACCUGAUAGCUACCUCCUAUGUGAUUACUGGCUUGGUGGAGGAGAUGAGAGCAGUGAAUGCUGUUCAGCUUGACUUUAGUAAGGGCAUUGAGGCUGUCACCCAUAACAUCUUCACAGACAAUCUGAAUAACAGACCUUAGGAUUUAGCAAUAUAAAUUAUUUCAAGUAAAGGUUACUAGGGUCUAAGGGGAAAGCGAACUUAGUGAAGAGGAGAGCCUCAACCUGACUGGAAGCUUCUGAAAGAGUGGAAGAAUUUGAUGGCAGCCAGCUAUGAGAGCUGUUGACAAAGACAAGAGGCUAUGGAGAUGACCCUUGACACAAAUAUUUGCAAUUGCCUGGCAUGAAACCUGUGCUGCUGGCAACAGAAGGACAGGGACCCUGCCAUUGCUUAUGCCAGCUGGGGGCAGAGAAGAAGCCAAACCAAGUAGCAAUUCCAUCAGAGUUCAUUUACUCAAGCAGCAGAUGAAAUACAAACCAAACCUGGGGACUCAGGGUAACAAUGUGCACCAAUACAGAUGGGAUUUCACCACAGGAGCCUGGUGGUAAGGCAUAUCUACGAACACAAGUUUCACAAAACUCUUGUUUUGUAAUGUUGGCAAGCAAUUGCAACCAUUUGCUUUUUAUCAGGAAAAGUGAAGAUGAAAUCAUAGCCUGCCUGCUUUUCUUCUUAACUGAAAUGUGCUUUUCAGUCUUCUCUGUGGUGUGCUUUGGUAGAGAAGUGCAGCACCUUCUGCCUGGCUGCCCCACCGCAUACAAUUUCAGUAUGAAUAUCCAGCUAUAUAUAUGUGUGGAGAUCAAAACCUUGUUUCUUAUUCCUCCUAGACCAUUUAUUUUUUUUUUAUUAUUGGGAGUAUUUAAGCAUGGUAACUUAGGGUUGCAUUAUUGCAAUUUAGGAUUGAAAUUCCAUAGUAUAUUCUAGAUGAAUAAUUAAUAAUAAAAUCAAGUAUUCCUAAGGCCCGUGCAUUUUGCGAUACUUAAGCUGGACCAACUGUUAUCCCUUAAUUGUCUUACUAAAACCCAGCUGACAUAAGGUUUAAAGUAACAUUGAUAAUCUGUGGAAAAGGUGAUAGAUAAUGACAACACACUUUACCUGUCUUAUAUGAAUGAACUUACUGCUGUAUCAAGGCUUUUUGCUGUGCAUUCUAAUAAUGCAUUCUUUGAAGCUGUGACAAAUAGCUGCAAGAUUCAAACUUUUACAAGCAAAAGAAUGACUGCAUUGUUAGUCUUCAAGAAAUCCAAGUAGCCACUCUUCUCUCCUGAAUGUGUUUCAUCUCCUGUCUGCAAAGUGUGUGACUUCAUUGUGAAUCCUCUUGAGAUGAAUCUCUGAAAAUCUAAGCAUUGUCUCCAUCUCUUCAGUCACUUGUUGUGUCUCGGUUUUGGAGGAGAACGUAAUUCUUUUUUAUCAGUACACACACACUACCAAAAAGGACCCCAGUUAUUUUUAAAUGAGAUUGAGGUCUUGUACGUGUCAGGUGUGUUGACUGAGAUCAAUUAUGUAGAGGGAGGCUAACAUCACCUGAUGCCUUGAGACUGGUGUUGUGGGUUGUUGAUUUGAAAGAAUUUUACCCUUGGUUAUACUGCGUGGACUAUCCAGAAUCUUCUGUGAUGGUAGUUUUGAUUCUUUUUACCAACACUUAAAGAUGUGCCAAGUCUCUUGCAAAAUAUUUCUGGGUGUUAAUAAACUCACAAUGUUUUUGUUUGCCCUGUUGGGAUAACGCUAAUUAGCUUGGUUUCCUGUUUUAUAUUUGUACAGCAUUUCUUUGCGUCGUGAAGAAACAGCUGAUAAACUCUGGAUUUUAAAAUUAUUUUCUUAAAAUUCAGUUAAAUGAAAUCAUGGGAUGACACUCCACUAUGCGCUCCAAAUACGUUUACCAAUGCCGAGAAAGGAGGCCAUUGCAGUUGGAACAACUCCCACUUGGGGGCAGUGUUGACUGCUACAAUUACCGUCAAUUCCUAUUAGCCCAGGACUUCCCCAGACGUCGUUUUGGAAGUAUUUUGUGAUAUUAGCGUGGCACUAAACAUACAGACACAUGUCUCACAUGCUUAGACCUCACAUAUAAGAAAUACACUUUAUUUCCCUUCAGGAACGGUGUGAGUGUUGCCUUUGUUUGUGGCAGUAUCCAAAGGAUUUUUGGGAAAUGUAGUAUAUCCCAUCUAUCUCACAGUUCCUAUCAUCUGGUUCAGUGUAUUCUCAGUAUACCUUGUACAUGCUAUGAAUAGAUUGUUUCAGAUUCUUUGGAUGACUUACAAAGAACUAUAAUGACUUUAAUCAUACAGAUUGCAAGUAAAAAGGAAAAGCUAUGAUUUGCUCUAGCUGAAAUAGGCUGUUUUGGUAAACAGCAAACAUCUCAGCUUUAUUAGCUGAGUGUUCCUCCUUCUCAUCUUUUUCCUUCCAAGACCAAAUGGUAACGUGUCAUGAUCACACUGACUUGCAGUAGCUUGUUCUGUCAUUGUGUUCCCCUUCCAAAAAUCUUCUAGUUUAGUUUCAAAGUUUUAAAAAUUUCAGCCUGAUAGUAAGCAGGAAAGCUACUUCUUCCUCCUUAGUCAUAUCACAUGCCACUGUUCUAAUUAUACUUCCAUAUUGCCUGGUUUUCUAAGUAGGUAAAAGUUUCAGCUGAGCAUGUUGCGUUUAGACUGUCUAGAGCCUCGCUUUGUAUCUUUACCAACACACAGUAAGGCAUAUUUCCAGCUGGGAAAAGUCCAGCAUGGCUUUUUCAGAACUAAGAUCUGUACCUGGGGAUGCAAAUCUAGAAGCAGCUCAUGCUUUGUAGUGAGCAGUUAGAUAGUUGUCUUCUGCAGCUGUCUUCUGUAGCCAGAACAGAAAUCAGGAGAAAAGCACAAAACCCAAGGGAAACUUGUCCUGCAAGUUUUUUCUGUAUUAUGUGAUCCUGAGAUAUGAUCCAAUUUCUUAAAACUGUAUUUCAAUGAAUGGGAAUGCAGUAGUGUAUCAUAACACGUCUUCCAACAAAGGACAAAGUACUGGUGACAGUGGAUUUUUGUAACCACUUAAAAACAUUCAGGAAAAAAAAAAAACCCACAACAUUUGUGCUGACUGCUGUAGGGCUGAGCUCUUUCUUAAUUUCUUUUUUUAUAGUCCUACCAAGUAAUAACCCCAAGCCAGAGAGAUGGAUCAACUUAUUCCACUGUGCCUUCAUGCAUACCACAGUAGUUGGAGUGCAAUACCCACAUAAACUGUGAAAGCCAUAAUCACCUUAUACCUUAAAACGCCCUAAAAAGCAGAAUAUUUCAUCUUAACAAGCAGUUAAAGUGUUACGAUCUGUUGUAUUGCCCAGGUGUUAAAAUAUCCUGCAUUCAACAUAUAUCAUCCCAGGAGUUAGCAGGUAAAAAAUAGUCGCAAAAACCAAGGUGUUUUUGUUAUGUACGUAGAGAGAUUGAGAGGAAGAUUCUCAGUAGCAAUAUUAAUUGUUCCUGCAAACAUUUUGCUCCACUGUGAGUGGUUCUGAUACAAUAAAUAUGCACAUCUAUGUAACGGAUCUACUAAAUGUAGCAGCCGGCACUGCUUAAACAUUCUCAUAGCUGUGAUGCUGAUGGUUCAUUUUCACCCUCGAUAGCAUUACAUUAAUAUGUCAAUGCUAAGAUCAGUUUCUCCCAGCAGCAGGAUUAUCUGUAAACAUAAUUAAACAGGAUCUGUCCUAAAUCAAGUGUUUUUUUAGAAACCAUUCACUGGAUCUUUAUUUCUGUACCCAUUGCCAAGUCAGAAUAUCUUGAGAACUAUCAAGUGAGCAAUGAAAAUACACAGCGAAUUUUCCAGGUGGGAUUUUACAUACUGCUAAUGCUCUUGAUUUUCAGUAGCAAUUAUCACUAGAGAACUGAGAAGUAUUUCUUUCUCGUCACAGCUGGCUAACUGCACUGCAGAAGUCAAAAGCUUAUUUUAUAUCUUUCCAUUCUCCUGUUGGAUGUGGUUGGCGUUUUAGUGCAAGAUCUUACAGAUCUCUGUCCAUCAAGAAACUGAUCGAGAAACAGCUACGCCAAACUGAUAUUAGCUGCUAUUGCAUGGCAGUGCACGGCACGAAAGGAGCUGAGAGAUGGUCACAUAUGCUCCUUCAGAAAUCCAUCCCAUUCUCUGGAAGGCUGGGACAGACCCUGCUUGUAGUCUCAGGCUGGACCUCUGACUUCUCAUGAACCCCUAAGUCCAUUGCUUUUAUCCCUGGAGAGCCUACUUUUCAGAUGUGUUUCAAAAAAAAAAAAAAAAAAAAAAAAAGUUUUUUUUUACCUACACAAAAUCAUAUAAUCAUAUUCACAACAGGAUCUCACAUGUCAAUUUCCUUACCAGGCUUACUCUUAGCUCAGCAUGAGCUCUGUUCCCUUCCUGGGUCAGAAUGAACGGAUUCUUUUAGUGUCACCCCAAGUCUACUUAUAUAUUUCCCAGAGCCAUCAGUUCAGGUAUAGCAUACCCCUGGUCCCAGGGUAAAAUACAAUUUACUUUUGUUUAAAUGAGGUCCAAAAUAGUUCUGAAUCCCUUUGAAGCAAUAUCAAGUGUCUUAUCUGUGUCCUUAUUUCAAUCCUGUUUUUAAUUCAGUGGCAUAGAUGUUAAUCUAUCUUAAGUAAGACUCAUUGUACAUUCUUACUUUGACGCCAUCUCUUCUCUUUUUUUGAGUGUGGGGGAUCCAAAUGACCUUCCAGCAGUGCUUGACAUGCUAGGCUUAGCUGCUUUUUAAUUACUGUGUGCAACUGCUUCACAAAGAUAAUAAAUUCAUUAUGGUUAUGAAUUGUACUACCAUCAGAAAUAAGCUUGCACAUUAGGCUUCUCUUGCCAAAACCUUUUCGAUCCUUUACAAACCUAGCUGUAAACAAUGAAAGAAUUUAAUGGUCCAUGGACUAGUAGUCCAGGGCAACCUUUUCCUUCAUUAUUUGGAGACAUGGCUUUCCUUCUAUAGCCAAAUAAGCAUAAAAGGCUCACAAAGUUGGAAAUGGCAUGUUAUAUAGGCUUAUGUAGAAUGACUGCAGUCAUUAUGAAAAUCAAUGUGGUAUUCUUUUUGCACUUCCUGGUUCAGUAUUUGUUAUAGACUGAAAUGCUAGUAAGUGAAAUGUUAUGAGAUUCAUUAUGUGUAAUUUUAUAGAUUGUAACUAAACCAUUGGCUCUCGAUAGAAAUUUUAAACGCAGUGCUUUUUGUUAUACAUGAUAUUGAAUAUAAUGUGUACGUCCAAGAUAGUUCAGUCAUGGUUAUGAUUCUGUUAACAGUGAUUAAGUGUGAAAUAAGUUUUCUAUUACUGCAUCAUUUAACAAAUAAGCUGCACAGAGACUGAGUUAUAAUCCAAGAAAUAUUUUCACAUAUGCAAGGAACAAUUGCUAAGUACUGAUGAGCCUGCCAGCACAGAAUGACUGUAUGCCAGAAAAGUAACAAAUGAAACCCUGCUAUAUAUGUUACUGCAUGAACCAUUGGGAAUAUUAUAAUUCUGGGUGUUCCUAACUGGAUGCCAGAGAUCUUGCUUCCUUUGUGGUGGUUAGGGGAAGAUGCAGAGCACUGACUUGCUGGCUUGUACAACUAAAAGAGAGAUGUAACUUUUCUCCUUUAGAUAACCUGGAGAACAUAUGUUUUGCAAAAGGAGGAGAGGGGAGGAAAACAGCAUGGCAACAGCCCGUAUCUUGAUUUAUGCAACUCCCUUUUGAAAGAAGGGUAACCCUUAGGUUCAGGCAGAACCUUCAAGUUAUUUCCGAUACAAACAAAAGUGAGCUCAAAGCCAAAAGAAGAUAAGUUCUUUAAACCUUCCUCUACCUUUUAGUAUGAUUAUUACAUUUGUUGAAAUCUGUGAACUGCAUUGAACAGGAAUACAGCUCAGUAUCACUAUUUCAGGGCUGAGAACCUGGCAAAGGCUUCAAAGCACCCCUAGAUGAGAACACACCGAAUUUCUCUCCACAGCUCUAUGAUACAUUCACAAAGCACAGUGAGACCGGAGGGACCUCUGUGCUGUAGUCCAAGUCCAUCAGUGGGUGUUACUCCAUUUCAAAUCUUCCUCUCUGUUAAGCCAAGCAGAAUCUUAGCAGAAAGAUGUCAGGCCCUUUGCCCUACUGUACUGCUUCUUGAUCUGCAAUAACUCAUGUUUUUUGGACCUGACUUCAUAUGGUUUGCUUGGAAAGAGAGUGGGUGGCAAUUUCUAUACUUGCUGAGCUCUUAGAACAAGUUAUGAAUACGUUGUGAAGUGCUGUUGAAAUGUCCAAUCGUGCCGUUGUUGAUGUGGCUUGUUCUUCCCAGCCCUGCAGCUCUAGGCUUACAGGUCAGUAGCAAGGCACGUGUGACAGGAUCUCACAUGAGACCAGCUGUGGCACUACAUGCAGAAGACAUCUCCAAUACUAGCUCAGUCUCUCAUGGGUCACUUUGACGUGCAUUGUCAAGUAUGAAGUUCUGCAGGUGCAGUGUCAGAGAGAAAAUAGAAAGGGUGUAACACAGUGUAAUGUUCCUACUCUGUAAUUUUUCCCAAGUCACCUUCGUUAAUCAAGAUUCAGAGUUGGUAGCAUAGACUUUAAGUCAUUCUUGGAGAUAACAGCAGUGUUGUCACACCUUCAAUUCCGAUAAAAUAAAGGGAGUUUUACUCUGUGGGGCUCAGAAGUUAAAAAAUGUAGACAACUGUGUGAGCUGGAAGUGCUAAGUGUUAGGGAUUGCGAUGAAAUCUGCAUUCCAGUCAGUGUAAAUGUUCUGUGCUACUCAGUACAGUGCCCCUUUUGGCUCCCUUUAAAGAACUCUGAUGUUGUCCUCUCUUAAAGAUCAUUUGCAAGUUGUAUUAAAUUGUUAGUAAGUUUUGUACAAGCUUCUUUCUUGAUCACCAAAAGCUUCCAAGUUCAAGUGCCUGUGAACAUGCUUUUGGUCCUGUACUAUUGGGAAUCUCUUUUGCCCAGGUGCUUUCUUGGGCAGAACUGCUUAUGAAGAGGGGCAAGGGUUAAGUGACUGAAUAUUUGAUCCCAAUCUGUUGUUUGGGCACAUAGAAACAUUGCUUUUAACCUACAGAAUAGAGAAAGGGGUGAAAUAUGUCUAGCAGGAUGAAUUCUAAAGUUCUAAACUUGGAAUUUUACUGUUAUGAUAGCACUACUCUCAUGCAGGUGACAUUUGGCUUUACAGGUGACUUAAAUUGCUAGAUUCCCUGACAAAAGUCCAGUGAAGAGUGAAGGUGUGAGCUAUGAGGAAAAGUUAGUAUAAGGCAAGCCAAACACAGUUGAGACAGCUCUAGCUAAUCAGAAGAUGGAGUCUUGAGCCUCGUUCAUGGUUUAGACUCACACCUGGUGUAUGGGAACUGUUGAAUCACAGCCUGAACCUCCGAUUGACCACCUGAGGCAAGCACUGAGUCAGCUGCAGGAGCACAGGUGAAGGCAAUUCAGCUGUGUGACCAGAAGGGGUGGAGCCAGGCUGCCCCUCUCCUAGACCCCACUUAGCAGCUGAGUGCCUCUGAGGAAGGAUUUCUUCCUUGUGAUUGCUUGUCAUGGAGUUUUUAUGAGUUUUUGCAACACCAGUGUGCACCUUUCAUUUAUAUCUGGUUAUCUUUUUCAACGUGGUAAUCUUACCAGCCUGACUUCUCUGUAUACUGUUUAACUUCUGUAUUCUUAUUAGCCUUACCCCUGGUAAUGGCCAGACUCUGUAAUGUGAUGUGAGAGUGGGGUGCAGAGGGAUGGGUGGCAACCCUGCCCGUGGCAGAGGGCUGGAACUGGGUGGUUGUGAAGGUCUCUUCCGUCUGUAGCCAUUCUGUGAUUCUUUGGUUUGCUGUUCUUACUUUCUGCUCCUUGCUAGACAAAUCAGCAUUAGUUUUUGUUUCAAAUGAAUGAGCUGCUUGUUUGGCAAUUAGCUAGAUGUUUGUAUUUCCAGCUUCUUAGGCAAUGGGAAAAGGAGAGAGCUAGAGCCAUUUUUUUCAGUUGCAGGUUACUCAAGAGUGCUUUGCAGGCUGGCUGUCUUUUGAAGGAUGAGCUAAGCUCCAUUAUGUUACUACUCUGUUUAAGUAUGAGUUGUAAUCCUCUCGUAGUUGAAAUCUACGAAUACCUGUGUCAUCACUUAUUGCAGAGAGUAGGUGUUACAAAGGUAAUGUGUGAAUUGGAUUAUAUUUCAAAGUUAUAUGCUAAGGGAUGCAGUUUGUCUUGUAAUUUCCAGCAGUUAGAAUCAAUUGAUGGAUGUUAUUUCCGUUGUGAUUGAAAAAGCAUUAGAAAGCACUUCCAAAAAUGUAGCAGGCAGAGCUUGUUCAAAGCACUGAAUUACCUUGUUUUCAGCCAAGGUUCGCUGUUGGCAGACACCCAAGGGUUUGAAAGCGGAAUCCAGUCCGUUCGCUGGUCGAGCCGCAUGGGGUGUGAUGACAUGACUGAAUAUGAGUGCAUCAGAACCUCCGUUCAUUAUCCGCUUCUUACACAUGUAUAUAGAUUGUAGCAAACGUGUGUCAGCUUGUAAUUGGUUGGAGCGUUGUGAGAAGCCCCCUACCUAGCAAUACUAUUGGCCAUGCAUGUUUUCAAACCAUUCCACUGUCUUAAUCUCUUCCCAGGCGAGCUACCCCCUAUCUUAAAUGAAGCCUCAGUUUUUCUUCCUGCUUUGACAGCUUCAAGGUCUCAUAGCCUGGGUUGUGCACAUAGCACCUGAGCUCACAGCCAUUUUAACGAGCUAGUACUUUUCCAUUUGUAUCUCCUGCCAAUUGUUAGGCCUGUUCUGCUCGUACAACUGUUCAAGGGACCCAUGGCCCCCUCGGCUGUGGAGCCAUCCCUCAACAGUUCGCUGUGAUUGUUUUUGGGAGAACAGUAAAAUAAAAGAGCCUCGUAACUUUUCUGUGUGGAAGACAGAACCUUGUCUGGAGAGCUGAGAUUCUGAAGCUCUGUUAAUCCAGUUGUCAUUUUCAGUUCCAAGGCCCCUUCCAUUUUACUAGUGAUCAUCGGUGGCAGAGCAAACUUCUGUUGACUUAUAUCUGAUGUUAUAUUCACUGUCAUAAGUUGUUAAGGAGAUGCAAGAGAUAUGUUUGCUCAAUCUGUAACAGACUGGAAAUGAGUCCUCAGGAAAGAAAAUGUAAGGAUGUUAACAC
rnacentral:lncRNA from 1 species